AAACAUAACCUUUAGAAAAACAAAUAUUAAAGGCAACGCCUGCCCAGUGAAUUAUUAAACGGCCGCGGUACCCUAACCGUGCAAAGGUAGCGUAAUCACUUGUCUAUUAAUUGUAGACCUGUAUGAAAGGCAAAAUGAGGGCCUAACUGUCUCUUAUAGUAAGUCAAUUAAACUGAUCUCCCAGUACAAAAGCUGGAAUGCCCACAUAAGACCAGAAGACCCUGUGAAGCUUUAACUAAACUAUUAAAUCACAUAAUAACUACUUUCGGUUGGGGCGACCUUGGAAACAAAAAGAACUUCCAAACACGUGACCUAAUAUCACACACCACCCAGGCCAACAAGCCUAACCCUAGACCCAGCACUGCUGAUAAAUGAACCAAGUUACUCCAGGGAUAACAGCGCUAUCUUCUUCAAGAGCCCAUAUCAAAAAGAAGGUUUACGACCUCGAUGUUGGAUCAGGACAUCCUAUUGGUGCAGUCGCUAUWAAGGGUUCGUUUGUUCAACGAUUAAUAGUCCUACGUGAUCUG
rnacentral:rRNA from 1 species